rnacentral:rRNA from 1 species
CACGUAGGGUGCGAGCGUUGUCCGGAAUUAUUGGGCGUAAAGAGCUCGUAGGCGGUGUGUCGCGUCGGCCGUGAAAACCUGCAGCUUAACUGUGGGCUUGCGGUCGAUACGGGCAUCACUGGAGUUCGGCAGGGGAGACUGGAAUUCCUGGUGUAGCGGUGAAAUGCGCAGAUAUCAGGAGGAACACCGGUGGCGAAGGCGGGUCUCUGGGCAGUAACUGACGCUGAGAAGCGAAAGCGUGGGUAGCGAACAGG